GAUCAUGGCUCAGGAUGAACGCUAGCGGCAGGCUUAACACAUGCAAGUCGAGGGGCAGCAUAAUGGAUAGCAAUAUCUAUGGUGGCGACCGGCGCACGGGUGCGUAACGCGUAUGCAACCUACCUUUAACAGGGGGAUAACACUGAGAAAUUGGUACUAAUACCCCAUAAUAUCAUAGAAGGCAUCUUUUAUUGGUUGUAAAAUUACCGUACUGGUUAGUAGAUGGGCGAUGCGUUG
rnacentral:rRNA from 1 species